GGACCUGCUGGGUCCUGUUCCUCACGGGUGGCUGCACCACAGCCCGGUCAGCGCUCCCUCCCCAAAAAGUCACGGUUUAAUCGAGACUGCUGAGCACUACGUGCGGAUUAGUGCAGGGUGGGACGCACCGCAGGCAGAACCGGAGGAGGAUGUAAGAGGCAGAGCCAGCCGAAGGGUUGCUUUUGGGACUGCCAGAAACUCAUCUGCCUCAUUCACUGCCCCUGCUUAUCAUUCUGCACUAUCUGUCCAUCACCGACAGGAUGGAAAGCUGCCGGUAUCAGCUGGAUGGGCACAUGUGGAUGGUUCAAUAUGGGAAGCAGAACAAGGUGCUAUGCCUAUAACUUCUGCAGCUGUGGAGCCAUGGUUUCAGAUUCAUCUGUUCUCUUUGGAAUUUCAAGUUGGUUCACAGAAACAUGAGAGAGAUUUCAAAGAAUGCCAUUGAAAAUCCUUUUCUGCUUGAAUGUGAAAGCAGUGAGGGAAUAUUUCAUGGGGUACAAGCAGCCUGUCAGCACAGGAAUAAGGGGAAGGAAGUAAAACAUAAAAUUGUUAUCAACAGGAAAGAAGAAAACUCUUUUUGAAGGCCGGCUAAGGAUUAAGCCACCCCUUCAACCAUGCCAUCAGUUCCAGCCAUCUAUCUCAGUGUCCAGCCAUGGUCUACUGAGAUCAGAUCUUGCACCACAGAACAAAGAGGUUGUUUUCCUUUUUGCCCAAAUACGCCCUGUUUCUCUACUAGGGGAUUUUUGCAAAGGCAAUGCUGAACAGAGAGUAGCUGUGGGCACUGGCACGGCUGGCUUCUCAUGGCAUGCAAGAAACUGCCACCAGCCACCUGACAUCAGGGGGAAGGUUUGAUCUGACUAGUGAGAGGGGAAAGCUUGAGUCAAUGUGUGCAAUACGCAUGUGUGUCACCACUACACCACUUUUUUUGUUCCAUCUACCAUAUUAUUUUGAAUCUGGUGGAAAAUUGGGUGGAGAAGGCAGCCAACACAUAAAGAUAAGUGCUUGUGCAUGAGUGUAAUAUGUAUAUGCUAAUCCUCUGAUAUGUUUUCCUGUAGGUAGAAACAGCACAUGGAAAAGAGAAACCCAGGGCUGGAAGUGAAUGAACAACUCCUGUUCCACAGUAUGAAUCCAUCUCAUAUACCUGUUGUCUGUAAGCAGAAUUUUGGCUGGAGGUUCUGUGAAACUCAUGGGACAGUGUAUGGAAAAAGUAUAAGGGUAUGAGCUGGACCUGCAUCAAAAUUCUUGGGGAGUUUCAAGUGUGCAAGGAAAAUGCUGUGCUUUCUACUGUGUGGGUCUGAUCCUAACUCUUUAGAUCUCUCACAACCAGUAAAGCAACAAAAAUCAGUGGUGAAUGCUGCUAGAUCAGCCCCAUCUGUUGACAGCUUAAAAUAAACUCAAGCAGAAACACCUGGUAAGGAUACGUUUGGAGCUACCGGGAUAGGAGAGAAAGGAAGGUGCUUGUUGAGGAUUUGGCUGCCUAAGUGCAGAUAGCAGAUUUUUGUCACUUUGGUUUAUGCAUUUUUUUACCCGUGGCUUUUUCUGGUCCCUAGGAAGCUGCUUUGCUAGAGAUGCCACUUAUUCUCAUCAGUGUUGUCCACCCAGCACAGACCACCACAGCAUGUCUGUAACUGAAGUUCUUGUUGGAGAUUUUGUUUCAGGGAAACUACAAAUACUGUUGCCCUCCAGCCAGACCUGGGAUUUCAAACAGCUUUUCCAAAAUUUCAAAAUUUUGAACAGCUGUGUAGAUGAUAAAAAAAUAUCCUGUCAUCUUUGAGAAGCACCAGAUUUACGUGGCAUGUAUCUUGGAGGAUACACAUUCAUUCUGAUAAAGAUGAUGGUGGGGGUAACAACAUCGUGCCUGGAAACAACACUUUAAGGUUUGACUUUUUUGAGCUCUGUGUUGCAUGUAAGAAUCUCAUAUCUGACAUUCAGCUAUACUGCAGCUGUUUCACUUACAGGAAUGAAACUACAAGUAUAGUAACUUGAGGAAUGGCUGGGUCCUCUAAGAGUUGUUUUCCUCCCGAACAGGCUGGUAGCAGUUACAUCUUAACAAAUAAUAUAAGCACAACAACAUGGUGAUGAUUUGGGUACAAGUGCAAUAUAGAUUUAAAUGUGCAUUGUGGUUAAUUUCUAAAACAAAUUGCUUCCAUGUAAAGUAUGGUACAUAAGUAGAUGUUUUUUAGGACAUGGGGAAAUGAGUACAGAAAAUGGGGGAUAUGGAGUGUAAAAAGCAUGUUUGAGGGGUGACUCUCUGGAGUUGUUUUUCCACAGAAAAAAGAUCAUCAGUAUCUUGUCAGUGUAAGAAAAGUAGACAAUAGGCUCUGAGCUGUUUUUGUCCUGUGGUUUGGCUGCUUUAAAUUUUGUGGCAAGAAAAGGCUUUUAGAUCAUAUCCUAAAGGACUGUUACAUCAUGUUCCCUAAUUUCUCUGCUGGUCCCUUUUGGUUAUCUUGCAAUAAGAAUCAUAAGGGCUCUAAUUCAGAUGGGAAAAAAAUAUAUUCCUGGAUAACAAAAAGGCAAAUGACUCACUGGUCUUCCUCAGUCUCCUGUGGCCACUGAUUGUGUGCCGAAGCCACCCAUCUUCACAUAACCCUUCUGCGAGAGCAGGGAGAUGCCUCGAGCUCUACUGCAGUCCAGUCAUACCACAAAUCAAAACAACAGUAAUUUCCUGCUCUUCUAGAAAGAGCAAAGUUGAUAUUUUGAGUUGUCUGUGCCCUUCUGAACUGCAGGAUGAGCUGGGAUCUCACUUUGAGCUUAUGCAACCUUCCUAUGCUAUAAGGUUAUGUAACCUUCCUCCCAAAACUCAAAGUAUGAGUAUGAAAACUUCCUUGGAUUCACACUGGGAUAUUGUAGUGCACUUUUCUUUGGUGUUGCCACACAGGUGUGCAGCAGCCUGCUGUGUGCUUGGCUCCCAUGCUGUGGGCAGCUGUGGGCAGCUCUGGCGUGUUUGGGUGUUAAGCUGGAUCAGGAAGAGGGGAGCAGAGUGGUGGUGCCUUUGCAGGGAGCUGUUGCUCAGCUUUUGCUCAUGGUGAGAGAAGAGUAAGUAAUGGAGAAAUGAGGAGACAGCAAACUCUCCUGUGCUUGCCUGAGGAUUGGUCAUGGACUAGCUGGAAGCAGCUCCCUUGAGUUCUGCCCUGGUGCCUUCCCCUACACUCAGCUCUCCUCCACACGCAGCCCUGGCCCCUGCUGGUCUUGAAACACUUCAGCAGACCCAUAAAGGGGCCAAGGGUGCAGGGCAACAUGACUACUUUCAGUCACGUUCCCUCUUCUGGGGAUAUUGUCUCCCACUCUUGCCCAGAGCUGGGUUUGGGAUCAUAUUGUUAGAAACACUUGAGUGCUGGUGGCCACAUCCUGGCUGUCCACUGGGAAACACCAUGAGCAGUUCUGCAGCCUCUGUCAGCGGGAGACUCUGGGAAUGUAGGAAACUGAUGUUAGAAAACAUCCUGGGAACCCCAUAACUAAUGUUGGGGAUGGAGUUGGCUUUGUUCCCCCAUCACUGCCAGGACUUCUCACCCUGUUUUUCUGUGUCAAGUCUGCCUGUCCUACUGGUGACACCCUGUCCCGGACCAGAGAGCUUCCCUGGGCUUACUUCAAGAGAAGCAAGGAUAUUGCAGCUUCUGAAGUUAGAUCUCCACCAUGCCAUGACACCAACAGCGAGGAAGUCUGAGGUGGUGUGUCUGGAAGGCUGCGAUGGUGUGUGUCCCUCGGGCAGAGAGGGUUAAGCCAUGGAGGCUGACCCUUUAAACAAAGGCUUGAUUCAUGUCUUUUCUUCCUUGAAGGGAAUGACAGAAAGAAACGUAAGUAAAAUACAGCAAAAGCUGUUGUGAAACAAGCCCGUUGCUGUUCUCCGAAAAACAAGUAUGUGAGGAUUCAUUUUUAGAGGCGCGCUGAAGCAGGGGGACACCAGGGGGUGGCCACAGCCACUCUUCCUCCAGGGGCUGUCACUGCCUUGCCAGUGCCAAGGACUAAAAUUGUCCGGCUUCUUAGAAGAGGACGUGGUCCUGACUGUGUGCCACAAAAAAUGUCUGCUGUGCAAAACCACAAGCUAUUUCCCACUCCAAAGCAAAAUCUUUAAUAGUAGCUGUUCUUGCAGUAAUUGGUGGAUGACUGCUGUGCAGAGGACUCCUUUCUGUCAGCGUAUUGAGGCUUGCAGGGUCUGGGGGAUGUCCGCAAUCUCAGUCAGGUGUCUGUCUGUGAAAAUGAACGUUCAUUUCAUGGCCAACUGAAAGGUUAAUCUUCAUCCAACAAUUAAAAAGUAAAAAAACCAAAUGCAUCUAUGGAAAACAGCCGAUAAUAAGUUUCUAUGGCUCAUAGCAGUGUUGACAAAUUUUACCACAGACAAUGGGUUUAUUGAUUCUGGCAGCACUCCUUGACCAUCAAGAAAGUAGCUAUUACUGAAAUUUUUGGCGUUGAUAUAUUAAGGGUUUGUUAUUUAGAAUUUGGACAUUCAGAAGCAUGGGACUGCACAUUUUGAAGCUGGAGGAAUGGUACAAAACUGAAAUGUAUUGCUCUUAACCUGACUACGUGGUUGUCAAUACAUGCAUCUUAGCGUACAGCUCCGACAGUUUCUUGCAACUGCACCAGAAUGUGCUUAUAAAUGAAAGUUAGGAAGUAAUAAUUAAAAAAUUUCAAAUAGCCCUAGGUAAGAUCAUGAAAAAUAAUUUGGAGCAGAGAGAGCUGUAGACUUUAUGUUUCAUUGUAUAUACAUAUGCAUAUAUAUAUAUAGAUAUGUAUCAUUGAAAGCUGCUAAAUGAAAUCACAGCUGCAUUAGGCAAGUUCUGUAGGAACAUGGAGGAAUAUCUGUCUUCAUAUUUUGAAAAACUGUGUUUGUGAUGCUGCUACAUCCCCACUUUUAAAAUUACUUUUAUUCUGAAAUGCAUAAACUUUAAAUGAGACUUUUCAAAACAGGAUUCAACCUUUUCAAUCCAAUUGCAACAUGUUUUGUUUGAAUACACACACUGAAACACGAAAUGAUGACAAUAAUUAUUCCUGGAAGGUAUUAAAAAGUUGAUCCGUAUGCAUAAAUUGAAUUAUGGCUCUGGCAAAGGUGCAAUAUAAGCAAACAGACAUAGUAUAAACACUUAAUACUCCUCUAGCAUCUACUGCCAAGGUCCUCUAAUGAUUUUAAAUCACUUCAGACUGUUACUGUGAGAUAGCCUGCCUGUACUCGAUUACAUAUGCACAAAAAUAAGAAGAUUAAAGAAAAUGUCAAGAGGACAAAAGGGAUUUCUUGAAAAAGUUAGUGAGGGAGGGCCAGGAGCAAACUUAGUGAAGAUGGCACCAGCUGCAGUCUCAAGGACUGGCUGUUCAAAUUCCUUGAGCAAUAGAGAGAAACCAUAGGGGAACCCAGCUGCCAAGAAGUCUAAAGACAUUUCAACAGCACAUUUGUGAAGAGUAAUUUUGCAAAGACUUAUAAACUGACCACACUGGGCAGGUUUUCCUGGGAUUAGCAAAAGACAUGGUCUUGCCAUGAAAACUGCUGCUUUGCCAGACCUGAUGUUCUGCUACAAAGCAUAGUUUUCCUCAUGGAAUAGAUGUUAUAAUGUUCCUUGGAUAUUAAUGUUGUUAAAUAACAACAAUAACCACAAGGAAGCAGCUCUCCAACAUGGAAAGUUUCAAUAUUUGCUCAGAACAAAGCUAGCUGCAGUGGAAAUCAAGGUGUUAGAACAGCAGGGAUGAAGCAACCCAGUAGUAGUCAGUGUUGUGUCCUCCACCCACUGCAGGGAUAUAUGAGUGUGUAUGUUUUGUUGCUAUGCCAGCUACAAGUCAGCAUUUAAAACUCGCUGCUCAUCCACAGCUGUGUGCUUCUAGUAAAAAAACCAAUAAAAAAACUAAUGGAAAGGUGUGUCAUAAAGUGGGGUCACUGCUUUGGCCCAGAUGAAAGCCAUGGGGGGUAAAUACAUUCAGGACUGGGAGACACAUCCAUCUUGCAGUAAUAAGGAACCACCAAAGCCAGUGAGAAUGGCCUGGACUGUCAAAGCCUCCUUGCCUCUGUCAAACCAACUGUGUCAUUUAAAUGAAUGUUGAUCUUGUCGCAGGACUCAAGGACCUGAUCAAAAAAAAGAGAGAUUCCUUCAGACAUUGAAUUUAAAUAACAUGAUGGUCAGUUUGUGAAGAGCAAGGCAAAUGACCUAAUACAACUUUUUACCUUCAGUCUGUAUAAGGUUUAUUCAGAAUGCUGGCAGCAAAUGUAGGAAGCACUGUGACAUUCCUGACCUGGGGAAGAGGCUUCAGUGACAUUUUGCCUUAUGUCUUUGAGUCUUUCUCUCUAGGACAUCCUCUGCAAAAAACCAUGUCCAGAGUGCCAACUGCAUGAACAAGAAGAGGACUCUUGGAAACCAUAUACAGAUGGACUGAGCCAAUGAUGAAAAAGGGGAGAGAAAGGACAGACAGCCUGUAGGUGAUGGAGCGUGUGUUCUACAAAUCCAGACUGCCUUAAGCUAAAGUAAACAGAGCAAGCUGGGGAAAGUUACAAUGGUUUAGAUUUUCUAAGUACAACGAAUUUCAUUUUAUUUUGAAACAAUUUUCCCUUAAGGAAUGUCCUUUCAUUUUAAUUUGCAAAAGGCUGACAACUCAACUCAUCUUAUGAAAACUGUUCCCUUUUGCUGGAAAGAAUUAAUUUUUUUUUUUUUUUUUUGCUAAUUCAAAACAUUAUUUUCCCCUCUCAUAUUCAUCACCCACCUUUCAGUUUCCUCACCAUUUCAGUCCAGUACUUGAUGGGUAUUUAGAAGACAAUUUCUCCAGUGGACAGAUUUUCUCAUAGUUGUUCUCUUAUUAUUUUUGCCAAAUAACCUAAUCUGAUCUGACAUAGCAGUUUGUAUUCUUUAGGAAUAUAACUUUCUCAAGUGCUCAGAUAACAUGAAAUGAAAAUGGUGUCUAACUCAAACUGCUCAGUGCCAAAACACAGUGCUUGAAGGAGAAUGGGCAACUCACUGAGACCCAUCCCCCUGUGCUAGUAAGCUGGAGAUGGUCAGUUCAAAAGUCAUGGUAGAGCAUACACUCCAAGCAGCUCAAAAAGCUUCCCAAGGCCCUCAAGAAAACCUGGAGGUCUGUAGUAAAAGACCCAGCAACCUCCUGUGUUAUUUGAUGAGGAGAGGAGAGAGUGAGGGCACCCCGACCAGGACAGUUGAGUCCCUGCUGGGUAGAACAAGAGGCAGAGACUGCGAAGGGCAGUGAAAGAAGAUUUGAUUUAGACUUAGGUAAAAUGCUUUGUACCGAAAAAACCAACUUAGCCCUGCUACAGAUUAUGUAGAGUGAGGAUCCCUUUCAGGAAACUCCUUAAGAAUACCUGUCAAAAUGGUAUGGUUGCUUCAUCUGGGGUUGGAUGUUCUUCCAGAGUUCCACCAGAAGUGGUACUGUCCAGAUUCUUCUCCACAUUUAUUAUAUAGUUCACAAAGCAUUUAUUAGCUGUUUUGUCCUCUCCUGCCAUGAUUUGUCUACAGUACUUACUUCUGAAACAAUUUUCCACUAUUUCCUCUGAAACAACAUUCCCUGACUGUUAGAACUCUAGGACUAACUGGAGGCAAAAAACAACAGCUGGAACAUAACCUAAGAUUGCAUCCACAAGAACAGGAAACCCUUAGAAGUUACAGAGACCCUGGUCAUCUCCUGAAACUAUGGUUUUCAAAGAAUUUAGCUGGAUCAUGCCUUCAGACCUCAUCUCUGUAACCAUCCCAAAUUGGCCUGGGGGCCUCUUUACCCAUUUCUGGGAGCACAUCUGUCCUAGCCGUGCUCAAACCUGUCCCACUGCCCACAGACAGAUUCUCCAAAAUCUUGCAUGGAUUAGCAAUUCUCAUAAAGGUGGGAACUCUCUGCGAUGCUUGAUCCAGGAGCGUGUGUGUGCUGAUUUGGCAUAAGGCCGAUGUAUGGGGGCCCAUGAGUGCUGAUGGCGCAGAAGUGACUCUGAGAGGGUGUAGACAUCCACGAGGUGCUGGAGAUCGGUGCAGGCAGGGCACAGACAUCAGCUUCAACCUGGAGAGAGGCAUUACAGUGUUUUGCCCUUCUGACAAGAGCAAACUGAAUCACUGAGGUAAAGUCUGAGAUUCAUUUGUGCAUAUUGCUGGGAACAGGAAGAGGAGCAAGUAAAUAUGACUGGAUGUGUUAUGGCUAGCUGUCUUUUGUCCUGUUUGAUCACUUGAAAAGACAGAUGACUGCUUACUUUAGUCUAUAAGGCAUGUUUGUUACACAUAAAGAUUCAUGGACUUUGUUAUGUUUGUUUUUGUUUUGUUUUGUUUUUUUUAAACUUGCUAGAAUGACACUGAGUAUUAAUUAAAAUUCUGUGACUGCUUGAUGGGGAAUGAACAAAGGGUAAGUAUCAAAGCACUGGUUCUCUGCAUCAUGCUAAUAUAAUGUUUCCUUAUAUUAAAAGAUAGCACAAACUCACAGAAGAGUAAUGUGGAUAAAUUAAGUGAUAAUCAAUGACAAGAAAUAAAAUCUUAUAACUUUAUUAUAAUUUAUUGCCAAAGCAAAAAUAUUGCCAGAGGAGAAGUUUUUCAGAGGAGGGAAAAAUUCUGUGGAGCUGUAACAACAUAUCAUCAACCUUUACACCUUGUUCAGAAGAGGAAAAUUUUAUUAGAUUACAAAAGGACUAGUAAUUUUAUUCCAUUAAUAACUAGAAAUGCAGAAAACAACAACUCAGUGUGGGCAAGUCCUGAGAACUGACUCAUCUCAGAACUUGUUCAGAGAAACGAUCUGAACUAACUUAUUCAUAUUGAA